rnacentral:snoRNA from 1 species
AUGAUCAUACUUUCGGGGAUAAUUUCUGUAGUUGGUUACUAGAGAAGUUUCUCUGAUCAUGUAGAGUACAGGAAACCACGAGGAUGAGAUGUGACUGCUCUCUCCUGAGUGUAAAGUAGCCCUUGGCAUUGUUUUACUUCGGUUACCACUUGCCAUUGAUGAGCCUUCUUACUCUUUCAGGAGAGUAAGAGGGAGAGAGCAGUCUGAGUGAU